UUCUCGAUGCUCUCAAUAUGAAACCAUUCAGUGUUGAAAAGUGACUGUUGUUAAGGAAUCAUGUAAAAAAAGUAAAUGUCACAAAAUUUAAUCUAAUUCUUUUAACAUAAAGAGGCUGCAGACUGUGUAUACUAAGGGACACCCCUCCCCCACGUGUCACCCAGCUCUUCAUUCACAAGCACUUCCUUUCUUGAUUUGAUACACACACGCUUUCCCAAGAACCUGUAGUAACGCUAAAAUGACCCAAAAAAACAUUUCCCACCUGUCACUUGAAAUAAUUGUACCCAACUGUUUCCAUGACUGGGUUUUUUAAAAUCUGUUAUUUUUAUCGCCUGGCAAUAAAAACUGUCCUAGUGUGAUUGUUUUCGUUUAAAAUAAAAGUCGUGUGUCUUUUCAUGGGCUCUGCCUCCCAAUCUGAACACAAAAAAGAGAAUGACAUUUUUUUAAAAAUCAGCAAAGUAACAGUUCUUUCUCAGGAUGCACUUUCCCAUUCGGGCAGCCCUCCCAGAGGCAAGGAAAGCAACUCGGAGGAAGCCACUAGGCCCCUGGGUCUCCCACCAGCCGCCCCGACACACCGGUGCGGGCCUGCGGGGACCUGUGAACGGUGCGCGUCUACGCGGGGGUCCCAGGGCCUCGGAGGCCAGCACAAUGGCAGGAUGAUGGACGCAGGGCGUCCAGGAAGAGGAGGCAGGAGAGGAAACAGAUGGCGGGGCCCGGGCUGCGAACCCCACUGCGAGUCCCUCCAAGUGUCACAGCCCGGGUGUCACAGCCAUCACCCCGUCCCCCCGGCCGGGCCUGCGCGCAUAGAGCCAGCGGCCGGGGCCAUGGCACGGGGUCGGGUGGGCUGCGUCCUCGCCGGAGUCGCCCCAAGGCAAAAUGAAAUGAAAGUUGGGCCACUCUUCCUCAUGGACUGCAGAAUACGGUUCAAUAAGAAAAGUUAAAUCUCUUUCUGGUUGCUGCCGUUACUCCUUAUCUUCUGAGCUGUGACCGUGUACUUAGCACUGCACAAAACCGGCACAUCCCCUUUCCAUGGCUCAUGCUGUGAAACCACCGAAGCAGUAGGAUCGAUGAAGUCAGGAGUUUUGAAGGUAACACUUUUAGGUAUUUUAGUUCACAGGUAUCUUAAUGUGUGUUGAUGUAUAAGCUAUAAAACGGAGUGCAGGUUAAAUAUUUGAGAAAUAAACGCUGCGCUAGGUGGCACUAUUUGGUAAUAUGCUACUUAGGUUGAACUUGACUGGUUAAUGAUUUUCAUACACUUUGCUGUAUUCCAGUAAUUGUUCUGCAAAUAGAAAAUCUAUUAAGUAUUUUAUGAGUAUUAAGGUAAUUUAUUCUUUGAAUGAAAAAAUUGAAAAAUACCAAAAAAAUUAUCUAUAAUUCUGUUUAGCUAUCUUACAAAUGUGGUGUGUUUUUUGUUUGUUUUGUUUUGUUUUUCUCUCUGUGGUCCAGGAAGCUCUGAAUAAGGCAUACAUUUUGGAGCCAAACAAACCUGGUUUCAAAAUCCCCAUGUAGCUCAUGGGAAAAAAUCUUUAUUUCCUUAGUUCUGUUUUUUUAAAUCUCAACUUCUGCCUCCAGCCAUCAUUCCUUUCUUUCAGAAAGCUGCGCAUUGUCUUUCCUUUAUGAUCUUCAUUGCACUCCUCCACCCACUGUAAUCCGCCUUCUGUCCCCUUAGUCCAGAAAUGACUCUUCUUCAAGUGGCUCAUGCCCCGUUUGUUGCCAGAUCCAGGGCCCACUCUC